AUGUCGCCCGUGGUGGAGGUGAAGCGGUGGCAGAUCCGCUGGGGUCGACGAUCCGCUUCCGCGACGUCCUGGUGGCGCGGGAUAGGCCCACGCCGCGCCGGCCACCACCGGGAUCUGCCACGGUGUGGGCUGACGCGGGGCCUUUCCCCUCCGCCGGCAAUCAGUCGGGCGGAAGAUCGACUACGUUGGCGGAAGGCUUCGGCCAUGUCCUGGUGGCGUCGGCUGGGCACGCGGCGCGCCGGCCAGCACACGGAAAUGCACCAAAUGACCAUCACCAAACGGUGUCAUCUGCUGCCUCCUCCCCUCCUUCUUCGAUGUAUUAUCAAGAUCGUCUGCAUUAAGUCAUCGCUAACCUCUUUCUGCUCCAAUUUGCAGGUAAUAUUGAAGAUUGCGAUGGAUUUACCAAUGUUCUGGUCCAGGAUGCAGCCACACUUGGACUAUGCAGUGCCUAAGGGCCAUGUCGGGCGUGGUUGCACAAAAACCCCUUGCCUUUCUCCCCAGGCAAAGAGGGUAGUAUUCAGGAUUACUAGUCAUCUGCUUCAGAAGCUCGAAAAAGUUUGUUUUGUUAGGCUGGAGGCUGAGAAUAUAUUAGUUGACCCCAAAACAGAGGAGGUAUACAUAUCUGACUCAACUCAGGAGGCUCCUGUCAAGACCCAGGCUGGGGUGAACUCAAAUAUCAAUCAGCUCGGACAUAUCCUCGAGGAGUUGAUUAAGACUAAGAAGCUGCCAGCACAUCUGACAUUCCCUGACUUCAAAAUGCCUGCUGAGAUUCAGCAUCUGCUGGAUCUAAUGCAGUCAACCAACCCACUCAGGAUGAGCUUGGUGAUCAAGUACCACAGUUCCAUGGUCCCAAUGGGCCUGAGGGGUAGCUUGUACUUGCUGGUCCAUCAGUGGCUGAUGGAUCACGUAAGGGUUGCUGAUUACCGGGCCUUUGAUGAUGUCUUGGCUGGCAUUGACCCCACAGAGGGUGAUUGGGUCUGCAAAUUGAAAGAAGGAAAUCGAUAUCUUUUCGCCUUCUACAGCAGGGGACUGAGGAAGGGCAGCUACGAUGCGCGGAAGGAUGAAAGCGCACCUAUCUUGCACCCGCUCGACUUCAAUCGGAAUGUGCACUCGCACACGUUCGAAGGGUGUGCAUCGAGAGCAACAGGCCCACGCUUCAGUAAAAAAGACAUGAAUUUGGCCCUGUACUUCAUCUUCGGGACUCAGCUAGCUUCGCUGAUGGUUGCUCUGCAUGCCAGAGGUUACCUCUGCCACCUUGAGAAGGACAUUGCGGACUUUUUCCCUUACUGA
rnacentral:rRNA from 1 species